GACGAACGCUGGCGGCGUGCUUAACACAUGCAAGUCGAACGGAAAGGCCCUGCUUUUGUGGGGUGCUCGAGUGGCGAACGGGUGAGUAACACGUGAGUAACCUGCCCUUGACUUUGGGAUAACUUCAGGAAACUGGGGCUAAUACCGGAUAGGAGCUCCUGCUGCAUGGUGGGGGUUGGAAAGUUUCGGCGGUUGGGGAUGGACUGGCGGCUUAUCAGCUUGUUGGUGGGGUAGUGGCUUACCAAGGCUUUGGCGGGUAGCCGGCCUGAGAGGGUGACCGGCCACAUUGGGACUGAGAGACGGCCCAGACGCGUACGGGAGGCAGCAGUGGGGAAUAUUGCACAAUGGGCGGAAGCCUGAUGCAGAAACGCCGCGUGCGGGAUGACGGCCUUCGGGUUGUAAACCGCUUUCGCCUGUGACGAAGCGUGAGUGACGGUAAUGGGUAAAGAAGCACCGGCUAACUACGUG
rnacentral:rRNA from 1 species